CCUACGGGGGGCUGCAGUGAGGAAUAUUGGUCAAUGGUCGGGAGACUGAACCAGCCAAGCCGCGUGAGGGAUGAAGGUACAGAGUAUCGUAAACCUCUUUUGUCAGGGAACAAAGGCGGGGACGUGUCCCCGGAUGAGUGUACCUGAAGGAAAAGCAUCGGCUAACUCCGUGCCAGCAGCCGCGGUAAUACGGAGGAUUCGACGGUUAUCCGGGUUUAUUGGGUUUAAAGGGUGGCCAGGCGGUCUGUUAAGUCGGCGGUGAAAGCCCGGGGAUCAACCCCGGCCCGCCGUUGAAACUGGCAGUCUCGAGUUGGAGAGAAGUAUGCGGAAUGCGCGGUGUAGCGGUGAAAUGCAUAGAUAUCGCGCAGAACUCCGAUUGCGAAGGCAGCAUGCCGGCUCCACACUGACGCUGAGGCACGAAAGCGUGGGUAUCGAACAGGAUUAGAUACCCCAGUAGUC
rnacentral:rRNA from 1 species